AACGAACGCUGGCGGCAUGCCUAACACAUGCAAGUCGAACGAGACCUUCGGGUCUAGUGGCGCACGGGUGCGUAACGCGUGGGAACCUGCCCUUAGGUUCGGAAUAACUCCCCGAAAGGGGUGCUAAUACCGGAUAAUGUCUUCGGACCAAAGAUUUAUCGCCUUUGGAUGGGCCCGCGUUGGAUUAGCUAGUUGGUAGGGUAAAAGCCUAUCAAGGCGACGAUCCAUAGCUGGGCUGAGAGGAUGAUCAGCCACACUGGGACUGAGACACGGCCCAGACUCCUACGGGAGGCAGCAGUGGGGAAUAUUGGACAAUGGGGGGAAGGCUGAUCCAGCAAUGCCGCGUGAGUGAUGAAGGCCUUAGGGUUGUAAAGCUCUUUUACCCGGGAUGAUAAUGACAGUACCGGGAGAAUAAGCUACGGCUAACUACGUG
rnacentral:rRNA from 1 species